GAAGGAGCAGAAGAAGAAGGAAUGAAUGACUGUUACAUAACACCUCAUCUUUUGAGACAGAUUCCGAUGGAGAAGUGGAAUAAAGAGCAACAGUGGAAACGGGUCAACCAAUGACAGUCAGACUCACACUCCCCCAACCGCCUCACCCCCCCUCCCACCUGACAGACGCCAAACACUCUCUCAUCGCUAUAAAACCUCCUCACCUCCAUCACUGUCAGGGACAUGAAGAUCCUGAAGUGUUUGUGUUCAUCUGACUGGCUGAGGUGGAUGCAGACACUCUGAGGGUACUCAGAGCAGGUGGAGUGUGUCGUUUUCCAGAAGAGUGAUGUGUGUGUGGGCAGGAACUACAGUGACUUUACUCCUCAGGUCUCACUGAGAGGCGCCUUAUGUGGUUCCGUGUUUCUGGGAGUUUGCUCACCACACCAACCAGAUCAGCCCGUCGUACCGCGGGCGCACACUCUACACCGGGGGAAGCUACUCCAGCUGCUCAGUUCAGAUUCAGGGUGUGAAGCUGGACGAUGCGGGCCAGCAUCACUUCAGGUUUGAGACAAACCAACCGCUGGGGAGAUGGACCUCACCUGACACCAUUACUCUGGAUGUAGCAGCUCGACUCUCCUGUCUAAACAUCAAUGACUCUGGAAGCGGACAGCGAGGUUUCUGGUGCCUGGCUGGAGACGAGAUUCUGAUUCUUCAAGUGCCAAAACAAAAUAUCAGAAUAAAUAGUUAGAAGGCAGAUUUGUUUUCUCUUCAUAAUUGUUUUCAUUAUUGAUGGUCCACGACACAAAAUCCAUCAGUGCUGUAACUAUGAGUUUAAUAAAAUGUUCUUCUAUCAA